UACGUAGGGUCCGAGCGUUGUCCGGAAUUAUUGGGCGUAAAGGGCUCGUAGGCGGUUUGUCGCGUCGGGAGUGAAAACACGGGGCUUAACCCCGUGCCUGCUUCCGAUACGGGCAGACUAGAGGUAUGCAGGGGAGAACGGAAUUCCUGGUGUAGCGGUGAAAUGCGCAGAUAAUCAGGAGGAACACCGGUGGCGAAGGCGGUUCUCUGGGCAUUACCUGACGCUGAGGAGCGAAAGUGUGGGGAGCGAAACAGG
rnacentral:rRNA from 1 species